CCUGAAUCAGCAUGUGUGUUAGUGGAAGCGUCUGGAAAGGCGCGCGAUACAGGGUGACAGCCCCGUACACAAAAGCGCAUGUGCUGUGAGCUCGAUGAGUAGGGCGGGACACGUGGUAUCCUGUCUGAAUAUGGGGGGACCAUCCUCCAAGGCUAAAUACUCCUGACUGACCGAUAGUGAACCAGUACCGUGAGGGAAAGGCGAAAAGAACCCCGGCGAGGGGAGUGAAAAAGAACCUGAAACCGUGUACGUACAAGCAGUGGGAGCACCCUUCGGGGUGUGACUGCGUACCUUUUGUAUAAUGGGUCAGCGACUUAUAUUCUGUAGCAAGGUUAACCGAAUAGGGGAGCCGGAGGGAAACCGAGUCUUAACCGGGCGUUAAGUUGCAGGGUAUAGACCCGAAACCCGGUGAUCUAGCCAUGGGCAGGUUGAAGGUUGGGUAACACUAACUGGAGGACCGAACCGACUAAUGUUGAAAAAUUAGCGGAUGACCUGUGGCUGGGGGUGAAAGGCCAAUCAAACCGGGAGAUAGCUGGUUCUCCCCGAAAGCUAUUUAGGUAGCGCCUCGUGAAUUCAUCUCCGGGGGUAGAGCACUGUUUCGGCUAGGGGGCCAUCCCGGCUUACCAACCCGAUGCAAACUGCGAAUACCGGAGAAUGUUAUCACGGGAGACACACGGCGGGUGCUAACGUCCGUCGUGAAGAGGGAAACAACCCAGACCGCCAGCUAAGGUCCCAAAGUCAUGGUUAAGUGGGAAACGAUGUGGGAAGGCCCAGACAGCCAGGAUGUUGGCUUAGAAGCAGCCAUCAUUUAAAGAAAGCGUAAUAGCUCACUGGUCGAGUCGGCCUGCGCGGAAGAUGUAACGGGGCUAAACCAUGCACCGAAGCUGCGGCAGCGA
rnacentral:rRNA from 1 species